rnacentral:rRNA from 1 species
AGAGAGAGACAUGCGCGCAUAUCAAUAAGCGGAGGAAAAGAAACUAACAAGGAUUCCCUUAGUAACGGCGAGUGAAGCGGGAAGAGCUCAAAUUUGAAAUCUUCAAGGUUUUACCUUGACGAAUUGUAGUUUAUAGAAGUGUUUUCUGUUAGUGGAGUUGGUAAAAGUUCUUUGGAAUAGGACAUCAUAGAGGGUGAGAAUCCCGUAUUUGGUCAUUCCUCCUAGCGUUGUGAUACACUUUCAACGAGUCGGAUUGUUUGGGAAUGCAGUCCAAAAUGGGUGGUAAAUUUCAUCUAAAGCUAAAUAUUGGCGAGAGACCGAUAGCGAACAAGUACCGUGAGGGAAAGAUGAAAAGAACUUUGAAAAGAGAGUUAAACAGUACGUGAAAUUGUCAAAAGGGAAGCGUUUGACACCAGUGUUGUUUUUCCGAAAAUCAACUACGAAUGUUUUAUUUUUGAGGAGUUAUGACUUCAUCGGCUUGCUCCUUUCUUUAUGAAACUUUCUUAAUGCACUUUUCGGUUAACAAGUCAACAUCAAUUUCUUUUGUUGUAAAAGGGUAUGAGGAAGGUGGCUUUCUUUUCGGAGAAAGUGUUUAUAGCCUUGUGCCUCUGCAAUCGGAGAGAUUGAGGUCUGCAGCGUAGAUCCUUCGGGGUUAGAUACGUUUGUGCUAAGUUAUAGCUUUUCAUAGACAACUUGUUGACUAUGAUUAGUCAUUGUAGCUUACUCGCUUACUGCUAUUUUACCUACGCUUAGGAUGUUGAUAGUCACAGCGUGUAC